CGGCUCACAUACAGGCUGCACUCUGGAUCACCUACAAUAAAUUCACAACUAUUUUGAUAAUCGUAUAGAAAUAACAUGAAAAGGUGAGAAAAAGGAAUUAAGAAACAGGUAGAGAGGAGGAGAGGCAAUGAGUUGGGUGCAUAAUGGCAUCUUAACAUCUCGAACGGAGUGAGGAGAGAGGAAGUGAUGGAGGGCAGGAUGAAGUGUAAGACCUUUCAUGUGUGGAGUAUGGAGGAGAGAAGAAACCAAAAAGUGAUAUGAAUAAGGGAGAAAACAGAACAGAAAUAAGCAGACGGCAGAGAAGAGGAGAUGGGAGGCGUAAUGACAUAUGAAUAUUUGGAA